UUGUUAAAGAUCAGCAACGGCAGAUAAACAAUGCAUGAUGCAAUCUGCUCACUAAAAAGAUUACACCAAUACAUCCCAUACAUGUAUUUCUACCUAUCACCUAUGUAACCUUUGUCAUGCUCUUCAGACAGUCAUCGACAGGAAAAGGAAUUACCAGUAAGUUGACAGGACUUUCCACACUGUUCUGGUAGCAGCUUAUGAUUGAAUUGAUGGUAGAAGACAUGGCCCACUUAAUCAAAGAUAAUCUGUAUAGAGUGGCACCUUAACCACCACUGGUGAAAUAGAAGAUGACUAAUGGAUGGUCAUCACUUUGCAGCUCACUUUCACUUUCUGCAGCCCAUCUCUUCUCAUCCACAAUCAUUGUCUUUGGAGGAAUGGUGGCAGUGCAGUCCUCAUGGCUGG